rnacentral:tRNA from 1 species
CCAAACAAACGGGCCUCGAUCCCGUAAAAAGUUAAUUAACAGCUAACUACCCAAACCAGAGGGCUUUUGUCUG